rnacentral:misc_RNA from 1 species
GAUGAAGAACGCAGCGAAAUGCGAUACGUAGUGUGAAUUGCAGAAUUCAGUGAAUCAUCGAAUCUUUGAACGCACAUUGCACCUCUCGGUAUUCCGGGAGGUAUGCCUGUUCGAGCGUCAUUUGUACCCUCAAGCUCUGCUUGGUGUUGGGUGUUUGUUCCGCCUCUGUGUGUGAACUCGCCUCAAAACAAUUGGCAGCCGGCGUACUUGUUUCGGAGCGCAGCACAUUUUGCGAUCCAGAUCAACGUACAGCGGCAUCCAAGAAGCCUUAUUUAACGCUCUUGACCUCGGAUCAGGUAGGGAUACCCGCUGACCUUAAGCAUAUCAAUAAGCGGAGGA